UACGUAGGGUGCGAGCGUUUGUCCGGAAUUAUUGGGCGUAAAGAGCUCGUAGGCGGUGUGUCACGUCGUUCGUGAAAACCUGCAGCUUAACUGUGGGCGUGCGGUCGAUACGGGCAUCACUGGAGUUCGGCAGGGGAGACUGGAAUUCCUGGUGUAGCGGUGAAAUGCGCAGAUAUCAGGAAGAACACCCGUGGCGAAGGCGGCUCUCUGGGCCACUACUGACGCUGAGAAGCGAAAGCAUGGGGAGCGAACAGG
rnacentral:rRNA from 1 species